UAGGGAAUUGUUCGCAAUGGGCGCAAGCCUGACGACGCAACGCCGCGUGGAGGAUGAAGGCCUUCGGGUCGUAAACUCCUGUCGACCGGGACGAACGCUAUUGGGCCCAAUACGCCCGAUAGUCGACUGUACCGGUGGAGGAAGCCACGGCUAACUCUGUGCCAGCAGCCGCGGUAAUACAGAGGUGGCAAGCGUUGUUCGGAAUUACUGGGCGUAAAGGGCGCGUAGGCGGUCCUGUCAGUCCCUUGUGAAAUCCCCCGGCUCAACUGGGGAACUGCAAGGGAUACAGCAGGGCUUGAGUUCGGGAGAGGGAAGCGGAAUUCCGGGUGUAGCGGUGAAAUGCGUAGAUAUCCGGAGGAACACCGGUGGCGAAGGCGGCUUCCUGGACCGAUACUGACGCUGAGGCGCGAAAGCUAGGGGAGCAAACGGGAUUAGAUACCCAUGUAGUCCCUGAGCGGGCUGGCAAGGCGCAU
rnacentral:rRNA from 1 species